rnacentral:lncRNA from 1 species
GAACAUUGGAGAGGGUUUCUGCUUCUGCUUAUUUAGAAAAAGGUUUAUAUAAUAAACAUAACAUCACUAAAGAUAAAAAAAAGGUUUACCUAAGCCAGCAGCAUUGGCAUUCAGCUAUACUGCUAUCUAAGCUACUGCUAAUCACCCAUCAUGAAGUGUGAAGGCUCAUCAGUCUUCUAGGUCAUAUAACUGGAUUUUUCAAAGACUCAUUCAUCUGCAUUGAGCCAUGUUCAUUCCUAUUCAUUCUUCAUUCAUUCAAUAAAUGCUAGCUCUCUACCAGUUGCCAGGCACUGAAGAAAUAGAUCGGAAUCUCUGCCCUCAAGGAGAUUACAGUUCAUCUUGGAGAACACUGGAGAGCCAACUAAUGGAGAUAGCAGCUGAUAUCAUGAGUUGGGGUAGAAGGAAAAUAUAGAGAACUAAGAACCAAGAACUGUGAAGACAACAACAUUUCAAGGACCUAGAAGGAAGAGAAGGGCUGCAAGAGACUAAAAGGAGCACCCAGGACAGAAGAGCAGAAACAGAGCCACGUCACAGAGCCCAAGGAGAAAAGAAGAGUGGCCACAACAGGAAGACAGAAAAGACUAGAAAAUUGAUGAGGAGGACAGUGGCAGAGCCCGGGAGCGCAGGCUGUCUUUGUCUCUCUCCAAAGCAUCAAAGAACAGCUGGAAGCCCUUCAUGCCCCUGCAGGCCUGGGAGCAAGGAGCUUGGCCUGUGCCACACCGUUCUUAAAUCACUGUGGCACUAUUUCUUCUACUACAUGCUGCAGAUGGCCGAGUUGCACCCUACCCCAUAAUGCCCAAUAUCGUUGCCCUUUGUCUUCCUUUCAUUUUGCUGUUCUGUAUCUCAGAGGGAAAGGGAAAUACUUCUAAUUUCUCCAUAUCUCUAAACUCUGAGUUCCAACUACUUUUGUAUAUAGUAAUUAGCCAACACUUUAUAUUCUUGGAAGCUAAAGAAACUUAGAAAACACAUUUCCUUCUCCCAAAGCCUGGCUUUCAAAAUCAUGAGCUUGCUGCAUGCUCCAGGAAUUCAGCUUUGCGAAUAAAGCUGAUCCAUCUUACCUUUGUUGGAGGCAGAACUGUCCUACUGUCCCCCGGGGCAACAGGCCACAUGGCUCAGCCUCAGAGGUGGAAGGCUGGAAGGGAGCAUGAGAUCAAAGCGGAUUAAAGUGCAUUGACUUCACAUCUUCAAAAUAUUACCAACAAAUAUG